AUAAAGCCCGCGGUUUUUGUCCUGAACCUUCCAUAGGGUGCUUGCAUGUCUUUGGCAGCCCUCCCAUGCCCGCAUAAAGACCUUUUUCCUUUUUUUCUGUUUUUCUCUCUUGUGCAUCAGAAGACAAAACAGUUUCCUUCUGAUCUGUUCUGAUCCUAGAAACAUGAGCCUUUCAUUAUGAAGAAAAGACACUGUACUGUUCAGGGAGAAUCACCUUGCUGACACCCAGGCACUUGUUAAAUCAGAUGCUCUAAGAUGCCCUUUACACUUUUGUCCAGGCAUCUAAGUCUACUUUGCUGUUCCAUGAUAUCUCCAUGAUUUCCACUUUUAAAGUGAAAGCUGGGUCAUAUCUAUAAUUCUCUUUUGUCUUAAAAUGCAAAGAAUGGGCUUCUGAAAAUAGUGGAAUUAAAAGAAAAGAUUUAGUAUGACCCAAGAGAUGUACAAAAAUUGCUCAGGUAAUUGACAUCUGAUUUCUGACUUCCUAAUAAUGCAUGCAGAUAGCUGAAUUAACUUCUGAAAAACCUGCUCUGACCACAAUCUCCACUAAGGGAUUCCCAUACAUGGCUUUAAAUGACAGAAGUAAUAGCUUGGUUUUACAGCAUAUGACCUGUCAGUUUCAAUCAAUUAUACCAGUAGAAGGCAUCAGAUUAGCAAAUCCACUGACUAGGCAGCAGUGGGUAGCCUGUAACAUCAAGGCAUAAAAGCUUGCCAAACAUAAAACUUUCUCGGGAAUUUGAACUAGAAUUAAGGGAGAUGGUCGGUUAGUUUGUUGAAGAAACAGAAGUGAGAUAGCACAUGGAGAGAAGGUAGAACACAGGAAUUAUUAUAUGGAAGAGUCCAGGUGCAUGUAAUAACCUUUAUCACACAAAUCACAAGAGUAAUAGCUGACCAUAUUAAUGUUUUUGGUUGGAUCAUUGAACACAACUGUUUGCAGUCUCUCUGUUUGAAUGUUCACGUUGUAUGCUUUGAUACUGUGACUUGAGCAACUAUCUCUAAGUUGAUAAUGUGUAACCUAUUAACUGGUGAUUUCUUACUGGGUUUUUUUUUUUUUUUUUUUUUUUGUAGUUCUGUAUACUUGUACUCUUACACCGCUUUGUUUUGUUUUGUUUUUUCUCUUUUUCCUUUUAAAUAAAAUUUAAAAAAUAUCACAAGUAUACAGGAAGCCAUGGUUAGCCUAGGCAGGAAGCAGAGACAGAGAAGAAAUAGGUCAGCGUUAGUUAUAGGGUUCAGAGUAGGAAUUAAUGGGGUUUGGAAACUGUGAGAUUGUUUGAUCUUAGUUCCUGUAUUCCCUUGAGGCUGGGACGAAGCUGACUUAAUUACUUCAACUUUUCUCUGUGGACACUGAGGUGCAAAAAGUAGCAAAGCCAUUUUUUUCUUUAGGUUCUGAAUCAUUUCUCCAUCAAAAGAGAUAUAAAUUUUACCCCAAAUUCCAUAUGCAUAAAUAAUAUCUUCAUUCUAGAGCUCUGCGUAAUUUGACCCAAGUCCUCAUUUCGUUGAGCUCUAGAAAAACUUAAUCUCAGUCACUAUGGAGUUCUCAUCCCAAAUGAGGUCAGGGCGGGGAUGGCACCGGUAACUGGUUGUGUGUCCAUGUGAGCAGCUAAUCAUGAGGCCUCCAGGGUCCCCUCAAUGCCUGUCCUGCACAUCUCCCAUGUCACAGGGCAUCAGAAUCUUCACCACGACCAGAAACCCAGUAUCAGAACCCUUAUUUAUGAGUGUAAACUGCAACCAUACUCUUGGAAGUCUGGCCGUGAUGGGACCAUUGCCCUGGAAAAAAAGCAGUGACCAGGAUUUGUCUUUUUCCCUUCCAUGUUGAAAUCUUUGAGUUUUCAGUUGGAAAGAGUCUGUUCCUAUAAAAUAGGAAGCUGAACAGAAAGUCCUGUACAUAUAGGAAUUUAUAACUAUAACUUGAACACUUAGACACACAUACACAUGUAUGUGUACACAUAUGUUUUUAUGUGUAUUGAAUUUUUCAAGAUGUCUUUUUCUUUUCAGAGUUGAACACUGAAUUGUGUUGAUUGAAUGCACCCUGUGUAUAAAGUAACACAGUAUGCAACAUCUCAGCAGGUGCUGGACGUGCGUGGUAUCUUAAGAUGGGCUGACAAGGCUCAUGACAGCUUAUUCAAAGCUGGGAGAAUACAUUUGAAAGAAGGUUUUUGCGUCUGACAUUAGACCUGAUCAGAAGGAUGAUAGGACAGCUGCUGAGCUCGGGAGCACCCUCUGAAAAGUCAUGGUUCAACCAGGAAUCUGCAUCUAACUACAUGGGAGACAAUUUCUCACUCCAAGGAAUCUGCGCAGAAGGCGUCCCAGACCCUACUUCCGGGUGGCUCUCUACAGUACAUGCAGAGAAUCCAGUCCUGGCUCCUGAUGACCAUCAAGAUGGAACCUUUUGGAGGACUGAGAAUUCAUUGUUGGGUCCCCAGACUCCUACCCAGAGUUUUCCACUAGUGGAUAAAUGUUUGACAUAACUAAUAAGUCUCUUUCCCUCACACAUAUACACCCUAGGGCUGGUGACUUGUGGCCUUCAAAAGUUCAAGACUGCCUUCCUGAACUACUGGGUUUAUGAUCCCAUCCCUCAGACCAAAA